AGGUCAGGCAAGAACACCCGC
rnacentral:rRNA from 1 species